rnacentral:rRNA from 1 species
UACGGAGGAUGCAAGCGUUAUCCGGAAUGAUUGGGCGUAAAGCGUCCGCAGGUGGCUAUGUAAGUCUGCUGUUAAAGAGCAAAGCUUAACUUUGUAAAAGCAGUGGAAACUACAUAGCUAGAGUGCGUUCGGGGCAGAGGGAAUUCCUGGUGUAGCGGUGAAAUGCGUAGAGAUCAGGAAGAACACCGGUGGCGAAAGCGUUCUGCUAGACCUGUACUGACACUGAGGGACGAAAGCUAGGGGAGCGAAUGGG